GUUGCCGUGGCCGAGUGGUUAAGGCCAUAGAAUUAAAAUCUUUUGGGAUUUUCCCGCGCAGGUUCGAAUCCUGCCGACAACU
rnacentral:tRNA from 1 species